UGCCAGCCGCCGCGGUAAUACGAAGGGCCCGAGCGUUGCGCGGAAUCACUGGGCUUAAAGCGUACGUAGGCGGAUGUGCAGGCGUCUUGUGAAAUCCCUCGGCUCAACCGAGGAACUGCUGGGCGAACCGCAUGUCUUGAGGCUGGUAGGGGCUGUCGGAACGAUAGGUGGAGUGGUGAAAUGCGUUGAUAUCUAUCGGAACGCCAAAGGUGAAGACAGGCAGCUGGGCCAGACCUGACGCUGAGGUACGAAAGCGUGGGGAGCGAACGGGAUUAGAUA
rnacentral:rRNA from 1 species